ensembl:lncRNA
CCGAAAGGAACAACGGAAAACACGCUCACUGUCCUCUGGUGGGUAAAUCAGAAUCAUCCCCUGACGGUCAGAAAGAGCACAUGUAUUAACAGAAGAUUACCUGGUAGACUGAGAGCUUCUCUGAUAUCUGCUCCUCAGAAUCACCCCUCUCGUGCAUCUUGGGAAAUGAAGUCUCGAUGCCUUUUAGCAGGGAGUCUGACCAGGUGCUGUCCUGCUCCCACUGUGACCACAUCUGAGGCAGAGGAAGAGAUGUUAUAAGAACUAUUCUGUGAUUAUUAGUAAGUGAUAAUUCUCAGUCCUGAUGGUUUUGAGUAACUUCACCUGAUUUGUUCUUGAUAAAUAAACUGCACUCCAUGCACUACCUGUAGUUUCUCCUCCAUCCUGAUCCCUCUCUCCAGUCCGUGCUGCUGCAGUCGGGCCACCUCCCCCUGCAGGCCGGUCACUACACCCUCCCACCUCUGGAGGGCGCUCUCUGGGACUCUCUGGGUCAGGUACUGCAGGAUCUUAAAGUGCUGGCUCAGGAACUGGAAGAACUUCUAACAAUAAGAAGAGAAUGUCAUGAUUAGAAUGUUAUUUUCUUGAUUACAUGCAUCACAAAUGACUGUGAGCUGUGUUUCCUGUCUGACCGUGUGGCUGCUGAGCUGCUGCUGGAGCUGAGCUCUGCUGUGGAGCUCUGAGUCGGGCUGCUGUGUGAGACGUUCAGAGCCCAGAGCGAGCAGCUCCUGCAGGCUGAGGACCAGCCGCUCGUACUGCUGCUGCAGCUCCACGCUGCUCCUCAGAUCAUCAGCGUGGGACCGGACUCCACCCAGAGCACCAUCCAGCUCACCCUGCAGGGAGGAGACGGACAAUAUCAAGAUUUAAACAUGUUUGCGUGCAGUUUCCCUGCACGUGACAAAGAUACAGCAGCUAGCACACCUGCAGCUGUGUGGCCUGGUGGAGGACAGCAGCAGGCAGGUUGUGUCUGUCGGCCUCCUGCAGCAGGGAGCUCACCUGCUGCACCUGCUGCUGCAGAGACUCCUGCACCUGAACCACCGCCUGGAAGAAAAACACACACACACACUUUGACAGUUGAAAAACUUUGCGACUGCAUUUUAAUGCACUCGUCUGAACACGUUUACUUUUCUGGCUGUUCCUCAAGUUGCGUACAAGUGUUGGGUUUCGGAUCUGCUUCUCGGUGCUGCUCAGUGCAGUCAGAACCACAGGAAGCACUCUGCACACGUCAUCCACACACUGCUGACCGCACGCUGACCCCAGCACUCUGCUCACCUUUGACCCCUGAGAGGCCAGCUCACUGCGAAGCGUAGCCAGCUCUGCAGACAGACUCUGAAAAGGAAACCCCAAACACAAUGGCUGAUGGUGGAUUAGUGUUUGUUGGUGAGUCACACCUGCAGUUGCAGCAGCCUCAGCUGUGCUUCUUCCUCGUGUGUCACCCCGACAGGUGAGUCCAGCAGGGGGAUGAUGGAGGACAGAGACAGGGACGCGCCGUACAGCACAUGAAACAAACCCUCGUCCAGCGCCUGAUGGGAGCCGUCCACAGGAGACGCCUGGAGACAGAACGGUAGUCGAACUAUUAACACCACGACUGAGAAGGUUGACACAGAUUCAUGAUGCCUGUUUUUAACAACACGACUCAGGAGGAAGACGAUGAAGAGGGUGAGGUACGAGACACCUCUUCAGGUCGUGAACUUCCGGUCGUGACUACACGACCAGCAGCUAUCCAGGAGUCACAUCUCCCAACAUACACAUUCUGCCUGCACCUGAUCCCGGCUCUCGGCGGCCGUGUGUCCCAGCUCUCUCAGGUGGCUGAUGUGAGUUUGGAGCUCUUUCAGGGUUUGUGUGCCAAUCAUGCGUCCUGCUGUUCCAUCACUACGCCUCAGAGAUGAGUCUGUCACCUUCAGAGAGAGAGAGAGAGAGAGAGAAACACACAACUUUCAUCAAACCCUGCAGGAGUCCCCAUCACACCGAAGACACAACAAAGUGCCUUCGGCUCAAAGAAGGUGAUAAUCAAGCGCGGCGAGAACAGCGAUUUUCUCUCUUGUAUUUGAAGCGUGAUAAUCAAGCUCUUCAGCUGUCACGAUGAAGGUCUUACCUCGGAGGGAAGACGCAGCCAGCUCUCCUCCGCUCUCAGCAGCCGACUGUGGAGGCGAUCCCACUUCCUCUGAGCAGAGUCGGCCUCCACAUCAGGCUCAGCAGGAGGACGCCUGCAGGGAGACAAGAGGCUGAAAAUUAACUCCAUCUUUCUUUCUUUCCCUCUUUCUUGGAGGUAUACUUUUAAACUUAGUGUCGGUUUCUCUCUGGAAAUUGGAAAAUAAAUGAGGCUAACAUGUGUCAGUAAAUGGCAUUUCUUACUUUUUUAUUCUAUUUUAGCCUUAUUCUGUUAAAGAAAGUAAUACUCACAAUUUAACUCACUGAUUUUGAUUCAUCAGGAGUUAUAAAAACACAAAACUAUGAAGGACUUCAUGGAUGAAUUUGAAUAAAGGCACUGCAUUACCAUAAAAAUGUAAUAUAUCUUACAUGCAGUGAUAUUAAAAUGUACAAAAUGUGAUAUAAUAACAGAGUGGUGAUGCCGUACGUUACCUGUGUGACACCUGGUCCUCUGAGUCCUGGCUGUGGAGUCGAGCUCGGCUGCCCUGCCUGGCGAUGGCCUGAGUCAGUCCUCUCUGCUCAGUCAGCUGCUGCUCCAGCUCCUGAACAACACACACACACACACACACAGUUACAUCUACACAACGUGCACAACUUUAACAUACUCCUGUAAUAGAUUCCUAACAUGUAAGAUGCUUGAAUUCAUGGGAAGAAACACAUGGAUAGAUGAGGAGUUCUGAUGGUCUAAUAAAGCUCGACUGGGUUUGACGACCCUGCAGUGAAGCAGUCAGUCCGGUACCUUCUGCUGCUGCAGGCUGCUCUGCCGCAGGAGUUUGUUCCUCGGUGAGGAGAAGAUCUCCUGGACGCUGCUGCUGCGCUUCAACUUGGACUCCAGGUGGCGCUCUGGCUGAGGAACGGACUUCUGAGGCGGAGACAAAGAAGAGACAUGAAAAGGUUUAUUGGUGUCAGUUGCUGUGUCUCAAUUCAGGGUCUGCAUCCUUCAGAGGAGCAUUUGAAGGCCUCACAAAGGCUCCUCCAGAUGCUCCUUCUUUUCCCUGUUUCUGGAGGAUGCACCGCUACGAUCCUUCGUGACCUCACGUAUCCCAGGAUUCUUUGCGCGUCCGAAAAAGAAGAAAGAAGUAGAGAAAAUGGCGACAUCGAGUGGCGUAGAUCGUCACUUCUCGCGGGCCUGGGCUGCUGAAAUUGUGACGUAAGGGUAAAACAUCUGGUGACACAACCAGGAAAUGCUCCAAAGGCUAGACCGUCACAUUUAACAACGGCUGACGAGGUUAACAAGGUCUCUCUGAAGGACUCGCCUUCAAAGACCGCAAAGGCCGAGUCCUUCAGAGGAUGCAGACCCUGAACUGAGACACAGCACUUGUGACUUCGCUGCAGUAGUUUUCAUCAUCAGUGCAUAAAGUGGAGUUUGUUAUUGUGACUGCUUCAGAUAUCAUGUUUUCUUUUCCC